CCUAAAAUUCUAAACAAAUGGGCCUAAAGCUGUUCGAGGGAGUCAGCAUUUUUGUUGCAACAAGCGGACAACAUGCAAGGAUCAUCCUGGUUUUGUCUUUAACAAAACCUAGAGUUUUCCUCUUCUUCCACAGUUUUCUUUUCCUUUUUGGUCUUUCAAUAUGUUCAUGACCAGCUCUCUUAAGUUGUUUUGCUACUCUAAUGCCCAGUAUAUGAAAGUUUUGAUCUUUCUAAGCUUUUUUGCAAGCAUUCGGUUGCUUAAUUUUGAUAAUUUUUUCUUGCUUUUGAUAGAUUGUUUCCUUGUCUUGGUUUUGUUGCAUUUAUUCUAUUAUAGUUGUGCCUAUGAUGAUGUUAACUUUUUAUAUGCUAUCAUGUUCUAUAUCCAUGAAAAAAUCCAAAUCAUAGGCAUAUUAUUUCUUCCCCCUAGCUAGUUUGGGAUAGUUAAAGUAUUGAUUUUUUUUUCAAUUUGUUAGAGCUUAUAUUGCAAGUGAUGAUAAACAAGACCAACAAUCAGCCACUCCUUUCUGGAGAAUGAUGAUGCUGUCAAAAUAAGAAUCAUCAGAUCUGAUGCAUUUGUACAGGCUCUUCAAUCUUCUUUUGUCUGUAUAUUUAUUUUAGUUCAUUUUUUUUAUGAUGGUUAAUGAGAGGUAAUUAGUUAGUGUUUUGGUAAUGUGGAUGGCUUCUUAUUCUUUGUCAAGAUUAUGCAUUAUUGCUUGAUUGGUGUUCUUUUAGAGAGUUAAAUACAUUGCUUUAGUUUCAUUUGACAUAUUUAUUAUGAUGGCAUGAGUUCGUUCUCAAUGUCAAAUUCUUAAUUCAAUUAAAAAGGAAGAAGAAUUUCCAUUUAAUGUACAAAUUAGUAUGUGCUGGAUGUUGAGCCUCAACAGUGCCUAUGGUGGCUCUAGAGCUAGCAUGGUUUGCUCCAGAAUUUCAAUUUAAGUAAUUUAUUGAAGUCUGCUUCUGCCUACAGCUUCUCUAGUUAGUGUUGACACGGCAUUUUUUAAGAUUUUAAUUACUUACUGUGUCCAAAGUUAUUCCCUUUUGGUAUCAAAGUGAUUUAGAACUUUGAGUGAAUAAGAACUUACUAAAGUUUUGUUGUGCCUGUGAUGGGUUUAGAUAUACUAUGAGCAACAGCAAUGAAAUUACCUUAAUAUGAGGCACUGAUUGUUCAUUUUCUGGUGUGUUGAACGUAUCAUGACAUUACUAAUUGUGAUUUGAGUAAUUGGUUUGAAUUUAUGGUUUUGCAGAAUUUGAAUGUACGUUACUCGGUUGUUUCUUCUUGCAUGAUUACAUAGCCCUGUUGGAAGAAUUUUAUGCUUGUUUUCCUUAAACCUCCUUCUAUGAACUUAUUUUGCUAGAUCACUUUCUCAAAUAGAUUUUUUUUAAUAUAAAUUCUUAAUAGAUGGUUUGCCUAUGAUGUGAUUUACUGCCCGUAUCAUCAGACAAAGUGAUGAUAUUUUCACCACCUCUGGGGCAAAACCAUGAUUUGUUUUUUACCACGAUCUUAAGCAUAAUAUACCCUUCAUGGUGGGGUUGGGUGCCAUUUGCAAGAUAUAUAAAAUUGUAUUACAUUUGUGUUGAAAUGACAUUCACUGCUUCGUCAAUGAAUUUGAUGAACUUUGUAAAUGCAGAUCAGAUGCAUCAGCUGUUUUGGAUAGCACACUUAGUAAGGUGUGCUUAUUGGGUAUUCAUCUCUGGUUCUCAAGUCACAUUCACUGUUUGUCUAGAUGGUUUCAUGUUUGAUUCAGAGUCUCCAUAACAGUUACUAGAAAGCCAGAUGAUAUGGGGUCUUUGCAGCUUUCCACUCCAACUGCAUCUCAUAAUGGAUCUGCUUGUUGCUUCUCUUCCAGCUUUGUCUGUUUGUCUAGAUGGUUUCAUGUUUGAUUCAGAGUCUCCAUAACAGUUGCUAGAAAGCCAGAUGAUUGUCAAGUAAGAACUUGAGAUUUGAAUAUGGGGUCUUCGCAGCUUUCCACUCCAACUGCAUCUCAUAAUGGAUCUGCUUGUUGCUUCUCUUCCAGCUUUGUGAAGCUCAACCAUGUAUAUUUUGAGAAGCACUAUUAUUUCAUUUUCAAGAAUACUUGUUUUGAACAAAUGGGACAGUAUUAUGAACAGAUUAAGAUUCAUUCCGGUUUCCCAAGAUUUGAUACUGGCUAGCUAGCACACACAAUUUACACAUUGGUAGUUUCAGAAUUCAUGACUCAGAAAGAAGACACAUCAACACGGAUCAUCCUCCUUUUGCACAAAGGAACAUGUCAAAUUCUCUCAAAACGUGUUCAGUUUUACAUGUGCCGCACCACACCGACUUGUUCUUUAUUUUACUUUUAACUAUUAGGCUAUGUUUAUGUUCGAAGAAAUCAACAUUCUGCAGCAAAACAUCUAGCUAGAAGGGAACUAUGGCAGCACUAUUUUUGGCAAAAAGAGCCGUCAUUAACAUCACUAGAGCUUAAUCCAAGGAUCACCCUCGUUGUGUUGUGUCUGCCAACAGGGCUUACUUCUCCACUGCUUUUCAACGAGCUCAAGGUACCAGUGUAGCAGCAGAGACAAGAGAAACAAAUAGCCCAAAUAGGACACCACGAAAAUCUUAUAGUGCAACAAAUUAUCUAACUAGGCAAGGCUUAGACCCUGAUGAAUAUGCAGGAGUAGGAGCAAAACAGUUUGUGGCUGACACUGCCAAAGAAGGGGUUAGAAAAGCAACACAAGUAGCAAACACGAUUGGGGACGCGGCUAAGGAAACAAUGGAUGGUGCACGGGAAGCAGCCAAAGAGGCUAACCAAAAGGUUAGAGAGACAGUAGGUGGUGGAAAUGAUGAUAGUAACAGUCAUGAUCGUAACAGCCACGACAAGAACAAUAAUAACGUGGAAGAUCCAGUGUUUGUUGAGGUCCAUAAGUUGAUGGACCAGCUGUUGAUACAGUAGAGUACAAAAUUAUUGAUGAUUUGAGAAGAAUAGGUGACAGCAGAUUGAGAAAGCACUUGGUUCUUAAGUUUGCUUGCAUUUGGUGCAAUAACUAUGGUCUGUUACAAUGUUUGUAUCACGCUGGCUUAAUUAGAAAACAAUGGAUUUGUGAUAAGACCUGCACAGGGUCUUGUAUGUUUAUCUUUAUUUUCAGUAGGGUUUCUGAAUUGAGAUAAAAUGAGCUUCAAUAAUUUUGUUUUA